CCAAUAGCGUAUAUUAAAGUUGUUGCAGUUAAAAAGCUCGUAGUUGAACUUCAGGCCUGGCUGGACGGUCCGCCUUCCGGGCGAGUACUGUCUGUGGUCGGGUCCUACCUUCUGGCGAAGCGUCAUGGCCUUAACCGGCCGUGGCGGGGAACCAGGACUUUUACUGUGAAAAAAUUAGAGUGUUCAAAGCAGGCAAUUCGCUUGGAUACAUUAGCAUGGAAUAAUGGAAUAGGACAAUGGUUCUAUUUGUUGGUUUCUAGGACUGUUGUAAUGAUUAAUAGGGAUAGUUGGGGGCAUUAGUAUUCAAUUGUCAGAGGUGAAAUUCUUGGAUUUAUUGAAGACUAACUACUGCGAAAGCAUUUGCCAAGGAUGUUUUCAUUAAUCAAGAACGAAAGUUAGGGGAUCGAAGACGAUCAGAUACCGUCGUAGUCUUAACCAUAAACUAUGCCGACUAGGAAUCGGGCGAUGUUGACAAAAUGACGCGCUCGGCACCUCAUG
rnacentral:ncRNA from 2 species